UUGUAUGUGUGUCGAUAUCGAUGUAUGAAUAAUAUCUACAAAACUAAAGUAACUGAUAUCAGUGCAAAGUAAAAAACAAACCUUUAAUAUCAAUGCAAAUCAUAUCGCCAUAUAUGACUUAUACACUUAAAGACAAAUACUAAAUUAGUGCCAAUGUCGUACCUUAGCAGGAGUGCUAGUGACUCAAUCGAACUAGAACUCGGUGAACUUCACUUGAACGAUAAUAUACGGUUACCCGUUAGCCAGUAUUCUUUUAGAAUUUCUCUCUCCACCGUCAGUAUUUUAUGUGUAAAUGACAAUAACUAUUUCGUUGUAGUUCAAUGAUAUAGUGUGCUAAGUCUUGCUAUAACGAUUAUAUAUACGGAACAACUGCUUAACGACAAUACAAUUUCGGUGAAUAUCUUAUAUACUUAUAUCAAUAUACACGUAAACUAAUAAACAUACAUAUGUACUUCGGACAAUAAAUAAAGAAUUGACAAUAAUGUUUCAAAUA